CCUACGGGAGACAGCAGUGGGGAAUAUUGGACAAUGGGGGGAACCCUGAUCCAGCGACGCCGCGUGAGUGAAGAAGUAUUUCGGUAUGUAAAGCUCUAUCAGCAGGGAAGAAAGAAAUGACGGUACCUGACUAAGAAGCCCCGGCUAACUACGUGCCAGCAGCCGCGGUAAUACGUAGGGGGCAAGCGUUAUCCGGAUUUACUGGGUGUAAAGGGAGUGUAGACGGCGAUGCAAGUCUGAAGUGAAAGGCGGGGGCCCAACCCCCGGACUGCUUUGGAAACUGUAUGGCUGGAGUGCAGGAGGGGCAGGCGGAAUGCCUGGUGUAGCGGUGAAAUGCGUAGAUAUCAGGAGGAACACCGGUGGCGAAGGCGGCCUGCUGGACUGCAACUGACGUUGAGGCCCGAAAGCGUGGGGAGCAAACAGGAUUAGAUACCCGGGUAGUC
rnacentral:rRNA from 1 species